GGCGGCCGUAGCGCGGUGGUCCCACCUGACCCCAUGCCGAACUCAGAAGUGAAACGCCGUAGCGCCGAUGGUAGUGUGGGGUCUCCCCAUGCGAGAGUAGGGAACUGCCAG
rnacentral:rRNA from 6 species